rnacentral:lncRNA from 1 species
GAUGAAGUCUCGUGGCAGGAGCUCCGAAAACUAAGAGAAGGAUUGGUAUACUUUUUCCUAAUCCAUUUGUUGAUGCCUAUGCAGUUUGUUGAGGUGAGAUUAGCACCAGGAGAUUUGGGUGCCUUUAUCAAAGCGGAGGAGAGAGGGAGGGAUUUAGCAGGCAGCAUUUCUUCUGCCUAACCUCCUUUUGCGUGGACUAUUUGGGUCAAAGCAAGAAAUCCAAACCAACCACACUCCAAGCAAAACGCAGGGAAACAGAUCAAUGAGAUCUGCAAUAAUAAGAGACUCCAAAUUGGAACAGCAACAAUUAAAAUUUUGUUUUACAACUGCAAAGCAAUACAGUUACGUACAAAAAAGCACACAUCGUUGUGUGAAAUUUGGGACUAGAAAACAAAUUUAGGAUGUCAAAAUCACAAUCUUUAUACGUCAAAUUCAGAGCCUAGAUUACUAAUGGAGCUCCCCUUACAGGUACAAGGAGGGUGUUGGCGGGAUUUUUCUCUUUAUAGUUCAAAUAAUAAUGAAUUAUGGUUCAUGACCAAGCAUCUUCCAGAUUCCAAAAGGUAUUAUUCGUAAAAAGAAAAAAAAAACAAUAAACAAAACUGCCACUGAGGUUCAUGUAGCACUAUAACAAUUAAAGAACUGCUCAAGUGCAAAUCAUACAAAAAGUUCAGCAACCAGUGAAAUUUAAAGCCAGUAAGAGGGUUCAGGAAUUUCAAGAUUGUCAUGUUUUAUUCUUACUAACUAAUAAUCAUCAGGUCAAUAAACUCCAAAACUGAUACCAUUACAGUAGAAGUUCAAAUUCUCAUUCUCAGAGAACAGACAAAUCAUUAGAUAAUUUCCAUCAUGUUGACAUAAUAUUUUAAUAAAAUGGACGUAAUUGCAGUCACAGGGCCAGGGAUAAAGAAUGGAGCGCACAAGGUUUUCUUGGAGAUCAUUAUUACGAAAAAUCAGGAAUGUAUCAACUUAUUCUUCCUACUAUACAGAUUCUGAAAAGUAUAGUUACAGCUCAAAAAUCAGAAUCAUCCCAGUGUAAUAACUAAGUAAAAAUAAUUUAAUUAACUGCUGCAAAUAAUCAAGCACCUGCGAUGCUUUAAUACCUCAUCUGUUGUGCUAAAGACUGCACAAAUUAAACCAACAGCACCCGAAAUUUACAGUUAAAUCACAACAAAUUAUGCAUAUAGAGCAAAAACCCAUUUACAAACAUCAGCGAAUAAAAAAUUAGUACAAGUAUAUUAUAGCAGUUGACUGGGGCAAAUAAUCAAACACCUAAGAUGCAUUACUACAUAACCUACUUCAAUAAUCAGCAGCCCAAUAAUUGAGCCAAAAAUUGCAUAAUUACAGCAUCAGACAAAAUUUUACCUUCCCCCGUAGAAAUUUCAACCAACUAUUAGAAGCAAAAUGAGUAGAAAUCCAUGCACAGAAAUCCCUAAUAUCGAUGUUUUUGAGAUGAAAUUAAGAUAAAAUGAAGAAGCCCCUACGCCGCCAUGUUAUCUUUGUUCGCCCUUACAAGAACUAUAAGUAUUUUGUAAUGCUCCGUCGAAAGUGCCUUACUUCCUAUUUUGAAAUGUCUUAAAAUAUUUGUCACGUUAAAAAAGUCAAAACACCCUUAUGUUAUCAUUUAAAUUUUGAAUUUAUGAAAAUAAAAUUAAAAAAAUAUAUAUAAACAUCAUAAUUAAAUCAUAAUUUUUAAAAUAUUAGAUUUCCGAAACAUAACUAAAUAAUUGAGACGGAAGGAGUAUAUUCAAACCUCCUGUCACGCUUUCUUAUAUUUCAAUGCCAACUCUCAAUCACGCACUUGUAAGGGCGUGAAAUAUACAUUCAUAAUCUUAAAUAGAUUGGGAGUCCUACAUACAGCAUAUUUGGACAUGUAUUAGAGGUCGAAAUGGGAAAAAUGAUUAUUUAAGGGUAGAGAAUUGAAUAACAGUUGUUAAUUAAGAAAUCAGAAAAUUAUAGCAAAUGAGAAAGGACAGAGAGGUCCAAGGGUAAAACGGGAAAAGAAAAAAUUAAUUGAAUCUUUAGGAAAUCCAAAAAAAAUAUAGCGAAUGAGAAAGGGCGACAAAUGAUUAUUUAAGGGUAGGGAAUUGAAUAAGAUGUACACAUUAAGAAAUCACAAAAAAGAAAUUUAACAAAUGAGAAAGGAUGGACGAAUCAGAGGAUAAAAUGGAGACAAAUGAGAGGGAUAGACAAAUCUAAAGGUAGAAUGGUAAAAAUAAUUGGAAAUGAUAAAAAAUUAAGGAAUCCAAAAAAUAUAGCAAAUGAGAAAGGGAACCAGACCAGAUGAUUAUUCAAGGGUAGGGAAUUGAAUAACAUGUCCGUUAAUAAAUAACAAAAAGAGAUGAUUUUAGAAACCUCCAUUAAGGUUUCUAAUAGUUUCACUUAACACUAUUAAAUUUUUAAAAAUCUCACUUAACUCCCCAGAUUUAAACUUUGUGUAACAUUUGAAACUCAUUUCGAAAUAUAAUAUUAAAAAAUUCAUUUUGGGAGAGUGAAUACAAUCUGAUUCCAAGUUGGCCCUUUUCUUAUGAUUUCUUAAUUAUCAUAAUAUGCCAAAUUUAUUACUUAACUUUUGCAAAUUGAUCAAUGUCUCGUUAACAAUUUUUGUGUCACUGCUUCAGAUAAAAUAGGUUAAAUUACCUAAAAUUAUGAAUGAUUUAUAUUACUCUUAAAAAUGACUUGCAAUAAUUUAUAACCAUGAGAAUAUCUUUUUGGACUAACUUAAAAAUAAUAAAAAACAAGUUUAUAUAUAAAAUUUAGCAUGUUGUAUCUUUUUAGUUAUCAAGCCAUCGAUUUAGAAAAAAUUAAAAAAUGUGUAAAUGAUUUAUUAAUUAACUCAAAACACUUUGAUAAAAUGAGAGGAGACAGACAAAUUCAAGGGUAAAACGGUAAAAAAAAAAUUGGGUUAUAGAUCCACCGAAGCGGGAAGCCUUAACCGGAUGUGUUGGUAACAGUUAAGGCCCGAAGGCCGUUCCCGUCCCUGUCGGGGGAGAUGCCAACCAUCUCUCCUUCUUAUGAACACGGCCAACGGUGGCGACCACUAGAAAUUACAACGCGCUUAAAGCUUAUCCAACAGGCCGAUGUGGGACAAGUUUCGGAUACGGCAAUCCCAAAAGAAAAUGGAUACUGAAAAACAAAAAGUCGUUGUGGUAAAUCAAAGUACAGAAAAAUUUUCGUGAUUUCAAAACGUACAAUAUGAUGUCUCAUAUUUUGAACUAAUUUGUGAAAAUGAUUAUUAAUUUUAGCGGAUUCCGUCACCUUUAUGAAAUCAUGAAAUUUUUCUAUGUAUUAGAUUUGUCACGAGUGAUUUUUUUAUCUUUUGAUCCAAAGAAAAUCGAUUUGCUUCGUACUAUCCCUGUGCACUUAAACACGCUUGUCAUUAUUGGCGUAUAAGAACCCAUCUUUUUGGACGCUUGACCAUUUUAUACAGUUUCAUUGGGCUAAUAUUUCACGUUUUAAACAAUGAUACCUACGUGAAUAUAAAUAAUAUAUAGGGAACGAAUUACAUGUGAAUGAAAAAGUUUCAUAUUAACCUGAGAAAGAACUGAAUUGUAAUCAUGACUUACAAAAACUCCAAAAUUUCAUUGCUUUAUUUACCCAAAAAAAAAACAAGUAGAAAUUUUAGGGCUCUGGUUCCCAUAAGUAAUACAUGAACUUUUAAAGAAACAUAUGAAUGCUAUAAAUCCUUUGUGUAGUACCCGAGAUCAUCUUCGAGAUGAUCCCUUGUUUCCGUAGACUUUCCAAUCUCAUCAAGUUAACUUAUAACUUAGGUCUCGGUAGCCAGGUAUCUCUAAGACCAAGAAGUGAUUGACAUGACAUUUCGCAAGUUAUUGCAGGUAUUUAUAGUUACCCCCUUUCCAUCGAUUUCGAAGGUAAUUGCAAUCCUGUGACCUUAACCGGGGCUUAAUUCCCGAGCUUUGUUUCUUAUUUCGUGCAGGAAGCUUGUAACAAUGAUUGCCGAUCUACACAGAUCUCGGGAAUCCUGAUUACGAUUCUACACUAUGCUUUUGUAAGUUACGUAAUCUUGGUUCCUAAUUUUCAUGGUUAUUCAAUCUCCUUCUCCCUAUAUAUUAUUAGUACUUCCACCCUUUACUUUCAGGUAGGGAUGUAUUCGAGCCAAGUCGAGCUCAAAUAGUGCUAUACUCGAGCUCGACUCGACCUAUAUGUACCUAGACUCGAGUUCGGCUCGAGCUCGACCAAGUUUAAAAAUCGUAACUCGAGGCUUGACUCUAGAAAAUUCUUUUAAACUCGAGAGUCGACUCGAUAAGGCUCGACCUUUAGUCAAGCCUUAUCAAGUCGAACAUAAUCAAGCUUUUUGAGCUUUAGUCUCUUAAUGCAAGUGAUCUAGGGACUUUAGAGGAAUUAUAUAAAGUGGGAUGAAGUUUGUGGAGUUUAGUGGAAUUAUACCGAGUGUGUUUUGUUUUAAAGGCAUUUCUAACAAAUUACACACAACAAUUCUAGUGAUGCUUGUUUAACUCUCCAUAUCAAGUCAUUAAAUCCAGGCUACUACGAAAUACUCAAAUUGUUCUUCCUUCUUUCUUUUUAACAUCCAGGAUUGACAGGUUACGCCUUAUAUCUAUACAAUUUUUAUUUUGGGGUUUUAGAAAUCUGCUCUUAGAAGUUAGAAUUUAUUCUUUAGCACAAAGAGAGCAAUAAUUAGAUUCUAGAGCCAUGUGAAGAUGAUGGAGUGUGUUUUCAAAUUUUUUUUUUUUUUUUGAAAAAAAGGGUUGUGAGCAAUUUCCUUCUGAUUGAACCACUUUUGACAAAGGUUGCCAAUUCAGUUGAAGUCCAAUUUAGUAGAACCGUGUCCUACUUUAGCCAAUUGCGUGGCAUUUUUACGAAAAAUUCCACACAGCAUACCAUUCAAAUGCGGAAGGCAAAAAAGAGGCAAAAAAAUUCCACACAGCUUUCGUAUUCAUUGUUACACUUACGCAUGCCUAAUAAAAAAGGCCAAAAAAGACAAAAAAGGAAAACAAAUUAAAGCAGAAGUGUUUCAUCAGAUCUAGAUGGCGAUGGAGGCUGACAGGAAAACAAAUUUAAUAUGCUUCUGGAUUUACUCCCAGACCCAGUAAUCAAUCAUACUACUACUUCCCAUUCCCCGUCCCCAGUCCCCACACCCAUAGUGCCAUAGAGAGAGAGAGGGAAGCAAAGAUGAAUGAAGGGGGAAAUGGAAAUAGAACUGGAAAUGCACAUUAGAGCAGAGGCAGACAUACCAGUAACCAGAAAAGCGAUGGCGAUGGAGGCUGACAGAUGCGGCGAGCAACGGCUUGAGAGUAACGGAGGUAGGGUUUAGAAGUCACUCGUUCGAACAGAGAAGAAGGGAGGAAGAGAAACUAAAGUCUGAAGCUUUUCUUUGCUUUUUCCCAGCAUUUUUUCUUUUUAGAUCUUUUACAAUUAUGUUAUUACUUUUUUGCCCAAAGUAGCUCGAGACUCGGUUCGAACUCGAUUUGAUCGAGUUCAAGCCAAGUCAUUGACCGAGUUACUCGCAAGCUAUUUGAUAUUGGCUCGACUUGCAUACAUCCCUACUUUCAGGCACUCAGAUGUGAAUCUCUAAAAUCCAAAGCGAUUAGAAAGAAGUUAUUGGCCAGAAGUCACGGGCCAUGGAGUUGGACGAAGCAGGGGACGGGGCUGUGCUCCUCAAAAGAUGUCUUUAAAGGUUAUUCUGCUUCAUCAAGCUACCAAGCGCCGGCAGAUGAUCCGUCCAGGAACGCCACCAGGUGCCCGAGAAGGUGAUGAAAUACAGGGAUGUAAUUGCAGACUGUUCUAAUAAGCAGAAGGCUGGGGCCUCAAGAAAUGUUACAGGUUCAUUAUCAACCUACAGAAAACCAAUAGAUAAUCAAUCUUGGAAUGAUGUAAAGUGGAUGCACAGGUUCGAGUAAGGAGUCGAAAUGCAGCUUGGCCUUGGAGCUGAUAAAGGCUCGCAAAGAAAAAUUAUCAUUUGGCGCCUCAAAAUGCAAUAGAUACAAGGAAGUUCUUGCUGGCUGACCUAGGGAAGAAAAGGGGAACCUAAUGCUUAGAUUUGAAGAUUGCCAGCUGAAUCAUGUCUUGGCAACAGGAGACAACAAGUUUCGAUGAGUUUUACUUUGUUCCACUCUCCCCCUCCCCCAUUUUAAUGAAGAUGAAAGGGAAUUCAUUUUCACCAAUUCUUUUGUAACUCACCUCAUUUUAUUUGUUGAAUUCUGCGUAAGCAAUGAAUAGAAUCCAGCCACACAAGGUAAUCAACUCAUCUUCAAUGAACUGUUGAGGCAAUAGAUGAACUACCAGAGACAUCUCUAUAACGGCUUCACUCAUUUCAAUAUUGCACUUUGACUUCUUCCUGUUCCUUUAAAAAAAAAUUGCCAUUCAACUGAAAAGAAUUGAAAUAAAUCGAGGAAAGACCAGAAUAAGCAAAUUCAAAUUCCCAGGAGAGUUGUUUAGUAGUAAAAGGCUUGUGCGUCUGACAAAGAAUUAGUACAGCAGCGUUUCUAUACUGAAAUGAGACCAGAACAAGUACAGCAGCGUUUCUAGAUAUUGGAACAGUAUUCCUGAACUUGCAAUCUUGUGUUGUUUUUUGAAGCUUCCUUGCAGGGCGCCUAUGCUAGAACAUGAAUCCACAGGCAUAUCGGGGUAAUUGAGUCCAGUUCAACUACAGGCAGCCUAACCCUCCCUGUGAGCUGCCAUCUGCCAAAUUGUAUCACAAACAAGCAAAAGAAGUGUACCAAACCUAAGCAAAGAAGACUGAAUAUUGAUUUGUCAACUUACCAUCUAACAUUGCAGCUGAUCUUCAAUGCGAAAGGCACAUGAAAUCUUCUCCAUUCCCGUAAAAGCACUAUAGCCACUGGGCAGGCCAAAUUAGUGCACUGCAUAUUCUCAUCCAUGGGAGUGAUGAUUUGACUGGGAACUGUGGCAAGAGACUUUAUUAAAACUCAUCGAUAACUAUUUAAAAUACUAUAGUGGAUAACUAUUUAAAGAACAGGUAAUUGGUGUCAUAAAAGGCAAAACAUAGCCAACCUCAUUCUGGCUAUCAACCCGUAACUCAGAACUACUUUAUCCACAUUUGAGAUGCCAAAUGAAGCCAAUUUUAAACCAAGUCUUGAUAUGAUAGAAAAACUCAUCCAAUCAGCUGUGGUGUGGCAGACUGAAAGUAAGCUUUCGGAUUGUCAUAGCUGGUUUGUACUCUACUAGUCAUUUAUGUCAAAGGAGAAGGUAUAUGAUUUCAGGAGAACAGGCAGACUUAAUCAAGGAAGAAUGUUAUCCAUUAGCCUGAAAAGCUGGAGCAACAGUAUUCAUUAUAGAAGCUUUAAAUUCAAGAACGAUCCACUGACAAGAGGAAUGCAGCUGAGUUAAUAUUUUUUUCACACUCAGGAAAUGGCAGCUUCACAACUGAGAUCUUGGCAGACAACCCAUCAUAAUGACAUCAACAUAUAGAAACCUGGUCACCAACAUUGAGAUGAUUUACAAACAAAGCUAUAAAUCACUAAGACAGUUCAAUGGUGAUUUAGAAAUGAAACCACUUAUUGCUGGCUUUUAUCUCUCCACUUUCUGAAUUUCCAAAAAGUCAUGCUCAUGAAACUCAUCAAAGGACAUCCGGGUCUCUGCAUAGACAGAAUACAAAGGAAUACUAAAAACUGCAGGUAUAACCAAAUUUCAGCGUUGCUCUCUGAAAAGAAAGGAAAAUCAUGAAAUCCUAAUCAAGGUAGGAUCCAAACCUGGAUUGACAGACAACAGUCUAGAACAUAAAUCAACACAGGUCGGAUGCAACUCAGAAAGAACCAGCUGAGAAAAGGGAAGAUAUGAAGAUUCCUUGAUAUUCUGCAAAAGCUGCAUCAUCCAAAUAUAAUUGGUGCACGAGGAGCUACUGAGACGGCUAUUCAAUUUAGAUAAAGGAGUUACCUGAACACUAGUCCUACCAUGAAAAGGAGGGUAGCCAUUAAGAAGUUCAAAAAGAAUUGCACCAAUGCUCCACAUGUCAACCUAUGAAGAAAGCUUAAAUCAAAUCACGUGUCUCAAUCUGUACUCAUGAUUGUAUGAGUUCUCGAUAGUUCUAUUGGAUAUGCUGGCAACAUCUCUCUAGCACAUUUAAAAUAGUAGUAGAAAGAUCUCCAACCUUUUCAUCAUAUUUUUGAAAUUGAAGAAUUUCUGGAGCCAUGUAUAAUGGAGACCCACAGACUGUCUCAGCAAAGGUAUCAGGGUGCAAAAUUCUGUCAACAGGAAAAGGCAUUGAGAUCAUUACAAACAAUUUUAUUACAUUGUCCUCCUGUCAAAUGAAAAUUCAAAAGCUAUUACGUGUUAGUCAACUAUUACCUUGAGAGUCCAAAAUCAGCAAUUUUCAGCAGAGCAUCACCAUCAGAGCUUGACAACAGAAUGUUCUAAGCCAAAGAAAACAACACCCAAAAAAAAAAUUUGUAUCAGAAAGUCAAAAUUCUGAUAGGAAAUAUGAUGAAAAUUUUAGCCUUCAAUGUUAAGAGGAAAAAACAGAGGAAAUAAUCCAUUCCAUCCUAUUGAGAAAGAUUACUGAAGGAAAGACAAAAGCAACAAGAGAUAGCACAAGUUUUUGAAAUUGGGAAAGACUCGUCAUAGUGUGCUGACACCGGCAACCAAAUUAAUACAAGUGAUCACCUUAUACCAUAUGCAAAGCUUUUCCCUCAUCAGUGACUAACAUACUUUGUGUUCACCUAACUGUCUAAUAGCUAUAAGAACAUGCUCAGAUAUGCAACUAUGGGCGUAUUAGGCAUGCUUUCUUUAUAACAUUCUUUAUAAAUGGAAGAUGCCAAACCAGAAAGACUUUCAUGCAUUAGAUGUUUUUACUAUGUAAGUUCAGAGCCUGCUUUGCUUGAGGUAUUUGAGAUUCUAAACUUCCAAAUUUUAGAAACAGAACAGCAUAAUUAGCAUUAUUUCAAUUGUUUAUUUAUGACAACAUAGUUUCAUGCUAAAUGAACAUAUGUCGUCAAAGGAUUGGACAGUGAGAGAGACCACUCUCCUAUGAUGCAGCAUUUCGUAGAUAAAACAAGUAUAAAUGUACUCGUGGCUGCACUGUGAGGGAAGCUUAUAGAUACCUUAACCAAAAUAGGUAAAAAAUUCAUACCUCUGGCUUCAAGUCACGGUGGAUGAUUAGGUGUGAAUGCAGCACCUCUAAUCCAGCAGCUGGAACAAAAUUAUUAAAUGAGGCAAAUAGUGUAGUUGCUGAAAAUGAAGAAGUCUGAUGCCAUUUUCUGAGUGAAACAUUACCAAUCUGUUGCAUGAAUCUUUUAGCUAUGCAUUCUUGCACUCUACCAUGAUUCCGGACAUAAGCACCGAGAUUGCCCCCAGCACAAAACUCCAGGAUGAGAAAAAUGCUGCCUUCAGCCUGAAAGACGUCCAUUGACUGUCCUUGAGAAGGUGAUUAGAAGGAAAUUGCAAAUCACUUUCUUGGAGUUCACUUUUUUUGUGGAAGAAAAGAAAUGAAAAUUUCAUUAUCACCAUGAUACUGGAAGACUGCCAUAUCCAACUUUCAAGCUCUUGAAAUCCUGAGCAAUGAAAGAUCCUACACUAACAUGUUUUCAAUUUAAUCUUAAAUGCUUUCAUCUAAAUUGCAUUUGACUGGAAACAGUCUAUGUCCUAGAUUUCCCUAAUUCUGAGUAUUAAAUGACACAAAAAUGAUUGUCUUAGAUAGUUGUAGAAUGAGUGCUAUGAUGGAAGAGUCCAAAUUCUCAUACACAAUAUAGCUACAUCAAUAGUAAAUAAAUCAAGCCACAUCCAUUGAGAUAAAUGUGCCAGCGAGUUGACUUACAGACAUAUUAUGUCAUCCAAUCAAGCAAUAACAAUUUCAUAGUACUAAUUAAGUGGACGUGAGAGCCAACCUAGCUCAUAAAAGUCAUGACAUAAAGCUACCAAGGUGAUGGCCAGCAUGAUUACUUAAAUAAUGUAAUAAGAGCUAUAUUUUCAUCAACAACAAAACCAGAAUCUCAACCCUUACCACACAUUAUCACAUCAAAGGAGUAGUCCAUCAUCACACUCAAUUUCAAGAGCUAAUAGACCCAAAUGUAUAUCCAAAAAAUAAAUAAUAUAAAAAAGCUGUCAGCUUAAAUUUCAGAGCAUAUCGGUUAAAACAGGGGAUUUUGGUUAUCGGGUGAAAAAUUAAACUCAAAGUCUCAGUCAGCUGUGAGUGCACAAACGGCACAGAUGAACAACUAUGACAAUUUGAUUUGGCAACCGAAAAAAUUGUUCCGUAGAUUGUCACUAAUUUUUUGUAGCAAUCAGCUAAAUCCAGUGGCAGCAUAGUUUGAGAAGGAGAGUGUGCUGGUGUCAUGCAACGGUAAUAGAAGCAAUUGUCAUGAACCAUGAUGAACAUGGUGUCACAUCCCAAAACAGAACGCUAAAAUUAGUUAAUGAUGCCAAAAAAUUUUAUCGUAAUACAAUCUAGUCAGAUUGAAAUUACUUUGGUGACAUGCAACAAGGAACAAGAAUUAUAAAAAAAGAAGUUAACCAACAAAGCAAAUUAAACAGGAACCUAGCAUCACAAAUGUGUCAAAUUUUCUACUUUCCUACUUUUCAGACAAAUAAUCUGUUAUUUCUUGCUAUUUCUUCUUAGGAAUCCUUCUGCAAUUCUGUUUAUCAACAAUUCACCGAUGGUUGAGCAAUUUUGAACUCACCUAUCUGUAAAACUUUAAGGCCAUGUUAUGGAGUACUCCAACUUUAAGUUUAGAUGCCAAAAAUGAAAGUCAGAGAAUUAAAUGGGACUUCCUACACUCUGGGAUUAAAAUUAGUAUAAACUAAGCAAACUUCAGCUACAUUUCAGCUUACAGCAGAGCAGAUUCCAUACACUUGACAAGAAAUCACAAGCAUAAUUUAUUCGACGAUUAAUCCCACACACAUAAAACAUCUACACCAUCAAACUUGGAGUCGUUAUAUUAAUUUAAUAUUAUACAAUUAUCCAAUUUCACGAUCAAUCAAAGUAAUCUCAAAAUAAAGCAAAUUGGUCUGAUCAAAGGGCCAUAGUGACUUAGAAAAAUGAGCAGAACGCAGCAAACAUAAAAAACAUCUAGAAGACGAAUGAUACAGGGUGAGUAACAGAGGAUAAGAAUUUGAAUUCAGAGUUAAUUUCAAUAUACAAAGCAAAAUGGCGGUGUUAAAAAGAAAAAAAAAAAGCCAUAACACUCGAGACACUGUACAAAUUAUAAGAAAAAACAGAAACCAUUUGAGCAAACCUCCAAAGAACCGAGAAAAUGAAUAAUAUAAGGUGAUUAUCAGAGGGGAAAAAAGUUGAUUUCACAAUGGAUUUCAAUACAAAGCAAAAUGGGCUCUUCAAAAGAAGGCUAUGAAACUCAAGAACUGAUCACAAUUACAAGAAAAUGAGCAGAACCCAUUUGAACAAACCUCGAAAACACCGAGAAGACGGAUGAUAUUUGGGUGAUUAACAGAGGAUAAGAAGUUGACUUCGCAGUCCAAGCAGUUCUUGAGGCUGCGGGUAAGCUUUGAGAGUUGGAUUUGCUUUAAAGCAACUAUUUGCCCGCUUUCUCUGUGCCUCGCCUUCCACACCCUCGACACUGAUCCUCUGCUGCCUUCGCUAAGUAGGGAUUUCAAAACGUAGUCUUGAAUUCUUCCCAGUUCGUUUGAGUCCGACGAAUGUUUCUCCUCUAUCUCAUCAGUCUCCAUUGCUCUCGAGAUUUUACGUCUUUUAGCUUUCGGGUGCUGGGUUCUUGGUCCCUCUAGAAGCCGCUGGUGGAUGUGCAAUUUUAAAUCGAAUUCUAUAGUUUCGGUUUUAAUAAUUGUAGUUAAGUUCAAGGGCUAAAUUACAAAAACUCAGCCUCAGGUAUAUGGCCAAUUUUACACACUAUAUUCUCACAUUAUUUUUUUCUUACUUUAUCCUAAAAUCAUUAGUCUAACUCUAACUGUUAUAUAAUGGCAAUGUCAACAAAAAAAAAAUUAUUACCUCUAAAGAUUAAUUAGUAUAAAUGCCCUUAAGAUAUGGCGUGUUUCCUAUUAAAAAAAGAUAUAACGUAUUUUGCAUUUUAUCUCCUAACAUCAUUUUUUCUCUUUUUUUUUUGUAUCAUAAACUCUCCAAUGUUUUAUAACAUCAGGACAAAUUAUGUCUAAAAAAAUAUCAUUAUUCCAAACAUAAUAAUGAAAUAUAAUAUAUUUAUGGUUAUAGGUCUAAUUUGUCUGAAUGAUUCAUUAGCAGAGAAUGAUUUGUUGAACUCAAUAUGCAACUCUUAAUUACUAUUUAUUUUCAUUUGUACUCUAAAUUACUAAGCUGUAAAUUGGUUAUGUUAAUGUACAUAAGUAUUAUCUAUACUACAUAUAAAGUUUGAGAAAAGGAUGUGGGGUUAACAUUUAUUUUUAUUUUAUGAACUUCCUUUCUACUACAUGUAUAGAUUACUUUUAUUUUAACUACCUAUAAUUACCCAUGACUAUUUUUACUUUUAAUUAUUUAAAUAUAUGUUUUCAACAUCACUAUCCUUUCUUCAGUAAUAAAAAUUUUAAUUAAAAUAUGUGACCAUAAAUAUUAUGUAUUUUUUUAGUGCGCACAUAUUGGGUAUGUAUUGAGCACUAGUAACUUAUAAUUUGGGAGUACAAACUGCUAAUCAAUUAUAGUUUGAUGGUUUAUAAAGCAAUUAACACUUUUCAUGAGAGUUGUUUUGGUUUCUAAAAGGGGUUCACCAUAGAAUUCAUAAUUCUUCAUAAAAAAGAAAAGAAAUUAUUAGUAGAGAGUGCAUAAUUUUGAUAUGUUAUUAGGGAUAUUUGUAUUUAUUUUUCUAUAAAAUAUGCUAUAGUCCUGAAAAAAUGUACAUUCUACGGAGAAAUUAAUUCAAGUAUCCUUUAUAAUAAAUUGUAAUAUAAUCCUUUUUAGACAUUCUUCCUCACUGUUGAUUGACACAACUUUUCGUCAUUCUGAAUGCAUUUUAGUAAUGAAUUUGGCACGGGAUAAUUUCACAAAUCUUGGGAUUUAUGACAAUUGCGCAAAACUACCAAUGAGUUUGAAAAAUUACACUCAACUCCCGGAAUUAGCAUUGCUUGAAAGUUGAAAAUAAUAAUAAUUCGAACGGACAAGUUUUAGAAACAAAGCGUAGCCUGUCCCAUUCUAAUCAGGAAUCGAAGAACGCGAGAUUAUUAGGCAUUUUCCUAAACAUUUUCUGAUUAGCAUCACCUUUCCAAAACAAGAAUGAAUCUCCUUUCACACCAGGACCAAGUUUAGAAAUUGCAUUGAUCUUCUUCUAUAUAUAUAGUAACUACAUUGUCGUUUGCAUCAAUCUGCCUGGCUAAAAAUCAAGAAACCCUGAAGUUGUUUACGAGAAUUUUUUUUUUUCCAUUCCUGAUUCUUGAUUGGCUUCUCCAAUGGCGAGUAAAGGACUCCCUCCCCUUGAUCUGAUUCUGCCACUGGCUCCACUGAGUACUCGGCAGCCCCCGCCCUCCUCCACCUACACAUACGGUCCAGCUAGUCAUGAUCAAGAUGCUGCUCCAAUCAAGUACGCUCUCCUGCCCACUGCAGCAGGUGUUGCAAACCCGGGUAGUACCAUAUAUUUUCCAGAAUUAUUUCGUCCUGUGGAAAGAACCAAUGUAAGAAAUCGAGGGCUUGAGCCGCCACGGCUUGAUUUGUUGCGUAGGGAUGAUAAUGGUGAUGGAUGUGAUCUUUCUCUAGCUCCUCCAUUGCAGGACAAGGGCAAGGGUAAGAUACCGGCACAGGGACGUUACUUGGAGACGAAGAAACAAAGAAAAAGAAGAGUCCGAGUUGAGCCUGAUCGGGGUCAAGAAAUCAAGAAAAGAAAGGUAACAGCAAAGGCCAAAGGGAUCAAGAAUAUCAAGAAAAGCAAACCUCAGAACGGUGGAAGGACUGAGGCAAUCUCAGUCAGCAGUUCUAGCCCUAGUAGUGCUGCUUUGUCUCUGUAAUCAACAUGGCAAUUUUUGAUGUUUAUCGGUGUAGUAUUUAGUUUUUUUUUCUAGUGCUUGAAUUCUUAUAGUUUUUUAGUUUUGCAGUCUUAUGGAUUUUUACAUUGAAAGUAGGAAGCAAGAUAAUCUCAUCAAAUUCUAUUGUCUUCUCUUAAAUAUUCAUUGUCCAUCGAUUUUCUUUUACUGUAAUUUCUUUUGCUUUUAAUUUUCUUCUAUGCCUGACAGUUGGUUCUCAAAUUUUAUCAUAUCUACUCGACCAAGAAACUACUUUUUCGUUGUUUCUGAUUUGAUUAGUUCUCUGCAUUCCUGCUGAGGAUUCAUGUCUGAAUAGAUACCAUAUAUGGCCUUCAAUAGCCUGAUGGAUGAUACACAACUUUGGAGAACAAUAUAUUAUUGGGUCCUAGAAAGAGUUGUUAGGCAUAGGAAUUUUUUUCUUGCUAAAUUACCAAAAAACAAAAAAAAAAUGAAGGAAUUGUUUCUUGAUUUAAAAAAGAAGUGUUUCUUUUUUUCCUUGAGUUUUUUUUUUUGGCAUGUUUGGUGUUUGUUUAACAUUUAGAACAUUAGUUCAACUAAACGUUAGGAAUCUACAUGAUAUUUUGAUUUUUAUGUUGCUUGCAGUCAAUAAACGGGAUAUGAAUCUGCUGAUUUACAUUGCAGUCCCUCAAUUCAAGAUCUGGUCAAAGUCAAGAAGAAAAGAAUAACAAUACAACUAAUGCUAAAUAAUGAUUAGAUGAAAAUCUCAGUUUAAUAGAUAAAAACAGUCCUAUUUCGACACAUAAUAUGUGACGAUUUUUAGAGUUCUCUCUGCCUACCUUUCAUAAAUAAAUUACUGACAGUUGGAGAUAGGAAAGGCGUAGAGAAGGAUGGAACGAUAAAAAACAAAAAGAAUACCAUCAAUUCAAUUACAAUGUUAUGCUAAUGUUUCACAUAAAUUUUUCUACAACCUUGUACUCAAAAUGGAUCAAAUGUUGUGUGCAUACCUAUUUUACUUUGAGUGCAUAUCUCCCUCCUCUACAGGAUCACAAGUUUUGUUGAUGCUAGAAAUUGGCUCGAUGUCGUUUUACUUUUUUCUUGUUUGAGUUCAACCUGUGACAGGCAAGUCUUAUUUCUUAGGGAAAGUUUCAAAAGUUAAGUUAUUAAACUUUUUAGAGAGAUAAAAUUAUGAGAAUUAGCUUUCCAACCCUAAAAAAAAAAAAAAUUUAGUAUGUAUAUAAAAGUUGACUUCAUUCUCCUAUCAUGACCUCAGAUAGACCUUGGACCUUAAUGGAUUUUUGUACAGCUGGUGCCACUGUCCCUUGUGACCUGAAGUCUAACUUUACACUAGGGCUUGAAUGUUUGGGUCUAGGCCCGAUACUUGGGCCUAGUAUUUUUCAAUUCUACUGCUAUAUAUCCAAAAGAAGGCUGUGUUUUCUUCUCCCUUGUAUGUUCCCAGUUGGUGUAGGAACCUUGAAAUGCAAUUUAGUCAAGUCAACCGAACUGAUGGAGAAAUAAAUUCACAAACCUUUUGAAUGUUUACGAGAAUUUCAUAUAGCUCCCCUUUAUGUUUUCAAAAUUGCACUUAUUUCUCUUAUCUUGAUGUUUGUUAAACAAUUUAUUACAUCCCCAUGGUAGAGAAAUAUCAGACAACAUAAACCCAUGAGUGCGACUUUUUUCUUUUCUCUUCUUGCUUUACUUUUAUUGUUUUUAUUUCCCGGUUACCAUUUACAAAUUUAUCGUCCCGAUUUUUGCUUCAUUUUUAUGUUGCUAUAAUGAAUAAGAUAACGGUUACUUGUUGCAUAUGAAAUCCAUUUGCGUGUCUCUUAUUCCUUUUUUUUUUUUUUUGUCUUCCUUUUUUUUUUUUUUUUUUUGUCAAUCAUCACUUUAUCUAUAGUAAUCGCUACAUUAUCUAAUCUAAGGAGAGAUUCAACUGGGGUCUAAGGGAUCGGUAGAGACUGAACCACCACUGUAUCAGACAGGUGUACUAUGCACCUAUCUGAAUUUUUUAAGAAACCACUUAAUAUGACAAUUUGAACCCUUGCCUCCCAUUCCACCAAACUUUUAAUAGUUUAGUGGUGGCCAUUAGUCCAAAGGCCGGUGGUUAUUUGCAUGUCCCUUCGGUUUAACAAAGUUUGUACAUCCUUCGGUAUCAUAAAUGCAAGAAAUGGAAAUUUUAUAAAUCCGAGAGGGACAUGCUAAGAAAUUAGGUGUCAAGUUUCACAAGAGGGCAACGCACGCCAUUAAAAAAUCUACUCCAAAUUUAUUUGCAAGAUACGGUCAAUUUGGUCGACUAUCAACAAUUUAAGAAACCAUUAAUAACAAAUAUUGACAGUUUAACAAGUAGUUAACACUGAUUACUUAAGGUGAUAGUGAUAACCACACAACUUAUUGGACCGGGGCUAGGGGUGCAAACGAAUCGGCUCGCGGGCGGCUCAAUUCGAGCUUGAGCCGGUCGAGUCAAAAUCGAGCUCGAGCUCGAGGUCAAAACAUUAAGCUCGUUAGCUCGCGAGCCUCGAAUAUAUAUAUAUAUAUAUAUAUAUAUAUAUAUAUAUAUAUAUAUAUAUAUAUAUAUAUAAUAUCUUUAAUAUUUUAUUUUCUGUGUAUAUAUAUAUAUAUAUAUAUAUAGGCUUCCAGUGGUUUGAUCUCUCAAAAGGCUCCUAGCUUAGUAACUUGUAGUAAUGGAGUUUGAAAAGAUGUAUUUUGAUGUUGAGCCAAGCUACAUUAUUGAUCAUCAUUGUAGUAGCUUGGAAACUGCAUUAACUUUCCAAAACAAUUUGAUUCCACCUUAUUCUUUCCAAGAUUAUGUUUCCAAUGAUAUUGUUAGCACCGAAAACUUUCUUGAAAUGGAAACAGAUAUCAAGGAUUUCGAGCUAAAAAUUGUGCUUUAGACCACGAAAACGUGGUACACAAAAGAUUGUUGCCCUGUCAAGAAAUCCAAGAAACUAUGGAUAUUUUGGCUGCUGAGCAAUCCCAUUUGAAGGAUAUUCAAGAUGAACUCAUGGAAGAGAGAGCUUAACUGAUCUGCUGCUGAUGGGGGCAGAAGCUAUUGAAGCAGGAAAUGUUCGUUUUGCUUCAUUAGUUGCACUCAGGCUCAAGGAUAUCCUAUCUGAUCAAGAAAAUGGUGACAAUCCAUUGGAUAGGUUAGCUUUAUAUUUCACUCAGGGCCUUCUUGACAAGAGCCUCACUGCUCCUGAGCUUCCGGAGGACCCUGUUUCGCACAAACCAAUGCUAUCUCAGCCUUCCAAAUGCUGCAGGAGCUGUCACCAUAUGUGAAGUUCGCGCAUUUCACAGCCAACCAGGCAAUCCUGGAGGCAACGAAGGUCAUCAGGAGAUUCAUGUUAUCGAUUUUGACGUCAUGGAAGGAAUUCAAUGGCCUUCUUUGAUGGUUGACCUUGCUGCUAGAGAAGACGCAUCUCUUAGGAUAACUGCUAUUGCUGGUGACAAAAGAAGUUCAUGCAAUAUUCAACAAACAGGUUUUAGAUUACAAGAUUUCGCAAAUUCAAUCAAUCUUUCUUUCUCCUUUGACCAAGUUCUGGUAACGAAAGAAGAAGAUUUCGAAGAGAUCAAAGUAGGGCAUACCCUGAUAGCUAAUUGUAUGAUUAAUCAGCUUCAUAUGCCUUACAGAGAAAGCUCAUUGGUCAAAACAUUUUUCAACGGUUUGAGGAAACUGUCCCCAAAGAUAUUGGUUUUAGUCCAAGAAGAGUUAUUCAGCUUCUCUAAAGCUCCAUCUACAUCAUUUGCGGAGUUCUUUUGUGAGGCCUUAGAUCAUUACACAGCACUCUCUGAUUCACUCCGGAGUGGUUUUUGUGCAGGUUACAAAUUAGCAUUAAAGAUCAUAGAGAAGGAGUUCUUGAGAAUGAGAAUUUUGGAUAGUGUGAAACAUUUUCCUUGUGGGAUCAUGGGAAAUGAAAGUAACAUGUUGCCAGAUUAUCCUUCUAUGAAUGGAUUCAGGCCAAUUCCUACGAGUUCCUGUAAUGUUACUCAAGCAAAGCAUUUAAUCAGUUUGUUUAAUGGGGGUUACUGGGUGCAAAAUGAACAGUGCAAGUUAACAUUAUGUUGGAAAUCAAGACCUUUGACCACCGCUUCCAUUUGGGUGCCGACAGCAUCAAGCAACACUAGUCUUGCUAGGUCAACUUCUUUUUAAUUGGUUUAGAUCAAUUUCCUUGGACUUUGGAUCAUAUUAUAUAUUGGAAGCUAGUGUGACAGUGUAUUUUCCCCUUGUGAAUAGCCAUGUUUUGUUUUUAAGAUUUGAAAUUGAAGAGUUGAAAGUGAUAUGUAUACAUUAAAAAAUUUUCAUGCUAGUAGUGGGUGUUAGGUUGCAAGGUGUGACCAAUGCCGCAAAUGGAAUCUUCUUUGCCUUUGUUUUCCUUUUAGAUGGCUUUUACUCUUUUUCCUUUUGUUGGUUGUGGGGAAAAUUAGUGCAGAAGCACAUUGGAAAGAGGAGAAUGUGACUACAAAAUGAAAAUGGGAAAAUAAGUGGCUCCAAAACGUUCUCAACUUUGAGAAUUUUAUCAGCAGAUUUAUGUUCUUGAAAGUAGAUAUUAUCCAAGUGUUAUUGUUUUUCAAGUUUCUCCAUAUGGCUUUUAGCUCCACAUAUACAAGCAUCAAAUCAAAUUAAAGAAGAUUCUAAAAGGUUUGUAGUUUAUAACUGAAGUACACUUUACUCCCUCAUACUAUAGUGGCAGUUCGUUCCCAUCUAUAUUCUCUUUGUUAGGACUUUAAACCCUUUAGGCUUUUUUUUUCUGGUAUAACGCACAGGUAUUUGCAUCCGUUUUAUGAUCUGCGACUAAUCAUGUUUGAACUCUUGCAUCAACAUCACGUUGGUUUAAGCCCUUUAGUUACUACUCCAAAUAUCUGAACAAUAAUCCCAGUGUACUUUGAGAGUCCAUUUAUCCUUUAGCGUUUCUUUUUCAUAUUUUUCCCGUAACUAAGAAGAAACAAACUGAUGAGAAUAGUGAAGUUCCUAUCAAGAUUGUAUUCAGACCUUAUUUAGUAAACUAGCUUUUCAAGAAACUCUCAAAUGGUUGUAGUUAAUCUCUUCAAAAGUUAACUCAUAUUCCUCCGAAAUGAGUAAAAAAACUGCUACAAAUGUUAAUUUUUCCAGAUCAAUAAAGCAAAUUCAAUAGGUUAAAGGCAGUGAAGACCUCACCACAAUGUGGUCACAAGAUGGGUUGUUGGAACUUAAUCUGCUUAAAUUUGCUUCUAGAAUAUAACAUGUGAAGAGAAAUUAAAAAAAAAAAAAGUAAUAAAAAACCAAGUCCCAAGUAAAAUCUGCUCGAAAGAAAUUCCAUGGAGGUAACAUAUGUACAAAGAAAAUACAAGAUGAUUGUAACUAAACUUGCUCUAACAAACAUAUUUAUUACUUAAUGUUGAAAAAUCUCAAGACAUGGUUGAUUUUAAGGUUAACAGCUACAGGGAAUGAUUGAACAGUCAGAGUUGUGUCAACUAAUUUCCAUGAGUGACAGAACACAAAUAUAUCAAUCUAUUGUCAAGACUUGUACAAGAUCCAAAGCGAUGCUAGAUUUCUUACAUUCCAAGGAAAUGCAGCUAAAAUGCAACAACUCGAGGGGAAAAAAACAAAAGAAAAAAAAUAAAGAAGCUCAAUAGCAAAUAAAAUAUUUAGUAUAUAGUAUAACCGAACAUAAGCUACAAAAAGGGUAUAUGGUAGAAUUAUCAGGCACGUAGAGCACUGCGCACCUAAAAGGAGGGAGGAAACUGAAAACCAAAAAGCAGAACCAAUCUAGCCACAGAAGUGAUUUACCCCAACCACUAUUAGCAGAAACAUGUGAAUAGUUUCAAGAGCUUAAGGACUGAAACUCACAAGUGAAGAACUUUUUUCUUCAUUGGCUGUUCAAGCACUGCAAGCUAUAUUUCCAGAUUGCCAUUUUAGAUUGAAUAUCUUCUAAAGUGGUUAACAAAUGUAAGCUUUAAACAGUGUGCAAGCUCUCCAAUUUAUCCAGUGAUCAUUGUUCCUACUCCUUCAUCAGUGAGAAUCUCAAGGAGUAAUGAGUGCUGUACUCGUCCAUCAAGUAUAGUUGCAGUCCUGACACCUUGAGCUACGGACCUCACGCAGCAAUCCACCUUUUGAAACAUCCCACCUGCAAUCUUCCCAUCAUUCAUCAUCCUCCUCGCCCCUUGGAUAUCUACUUCCUUCACCAAACUUCCUGGGUCACCUUGGUCCUCUAGAAUUCCAGCCACAUCAGUCAAAAGAAUUAACUUCUCUGCUGCCAAGGCCGCAGCAACCUCACCCGCAGCUAUGUCUGCAUUGAUGUUGUAUGACUGGCCUGUCUUGUCAGCAGCUAUAGAGGCAAUGACUGGGAUAUGACCAUUGUCAAUGAGUUGUCGAAGCACUGUGGGGUCCACAGUGGCUAUAUCACCAACGAAGCCAAGCUGAUCAGAAUUUUGGGAAGGCCUGGCAGUCAAAAGACGGCCAUCCAUACCAGAUAAGCCAACGGCAGAAGCCCCUGCCUUGUUGAUUAAGGCAACAAGAUGUUUGUUCACUUUACCCGCCAAUACCAUCGAAACAAUUUCCAUGGUUGUUGCAUCAGUGACACGACUUCCAUUCACAAACUUGGGCUUCAGCCCAACCUACCAAGCCACUGGUUGAUUUCAGGACCCCACCAUGGACCAUGACAAUGCGAAGACCAACACGAGAGAGAAGAACCAAGUCAGACAUUACAGAAGCUUGAAGGGCCUCAGACUUCAUGGCUGCACCUCCAUAUUUGACCACAAUUGUCUUGCCAUGGAACUUUUCUAUGUAAGGCAGCGCCUCCGGAAGGAUAUUGACUCUUUUUGUGCUGAUAUGGAACGUGUUUCAGGUACAACUACAGGUUCUGAUGAAGUCUCGUGGCAGGAGCUCCGAAAACUAAGAGAAGGAUUGGUAUACUUUUUCAAUCCAUUUGUUGAUGCCUAUGCAGUUUGUUGAGGUGAGAUUAGCACCAGGAGAUUUGGGUGCCUUUAUCAAAGCGGAGGAGAGAGGGAGGGAUUUAGCAGGCAGCAUUUCUUCUGCCUAACCUCCUUUUGCGUGGACUAUUUGGGUCAAAGCAAGAAAUCCAAACCAACCACACUCCAAGCAAAACGCAGGGAAACAGAUCAAUG